UACGUAGGGUCCGAGCGUUGUCCGGAAUUACUGGGCGUAAAGAGCUCGUAGGUGGUUUGUCGCGUUGUCCGUGAAAACUCACAGCUCAACUGUGGGCGUGCGGGCGAUACGGGCAGACUGGAGUACUGCAGGGGAGACUGGAAUUCCUGGUGUAGCGGUGGAAUGCGCAGGUAUCAGGAGGAACACCGGUGGCGAAGGCGGGUCUCUGGGCAGUAACUGACGCUGAGGAGCGAAAGCGUGGGGAGCGAACAGG
rnacentral:rRNA from 1 species